GUUAUGUUGACCAACGUAAGAAAAUAGAAAUCCAACAGCUAUCCAACAAUGUUAUGGCUGAUUGAAAGAGGACGGAGGACUAGCAAAUUAAGUGUCAAGGGAAAAUUUAAAAGUGGUUGGUUUACCUUUGAAGAAGCAAUACAUAUAUCCAAAAGCGGUAGAUAUUCUGACGAUAGUUCAUAAACGCAACCUUCUACGCAACAUUCAGGAUCUUGGACUACGUUUGGAAAGCCCAUGUCACUACCAAAUGCACCUAAGAGUUAAUGGCAAUAAAACUGAUUUUGAAAACUCUCUUAAAGACACUGCUUCUGUUAUUUCUGACCUCGUUUAUUAAAAACAAGUCUAUAGCCAAAUAGCAA